ensembl:lncRNA
GUCAGCCACUGAGUCAGUUUUUGCAUACCUGUUUGGAAGCAUGAAGAAAGAAUGAUUGGAGGGGUCCCUUUUCCAACAAGUGCCGAAGCAGACCUUGCAUUGGGACCAUUACUUGCUAUGAAGGUAAAGAAACUGGGGCAUGAGUCUUAGUGGAGUGACUGGAAGUGAAGCUGCUGCUUAGAAGGAACUACUGAGACAGUGUCAGUUCUGAUUGUGGAUAAUUAUGGAGCCAGCACAGACAUUCAAGGAUAAUUCAACAAUGGCCUGAGCAAAAUAUAAGCAGAGAAGUUCCUUUUCAUUUGUGUUGGCUGCAUUUUGUCAUCAUUGGAGAAGAUACAAAAAUGCUGUCCCUUUUUUCUAUUACACACCGUGGAAGCAGAAGUGUCAAGGAAUGACUACCUCAAACUGUAGUGAGAAUCUCUGUGAGGCUUUUGUUACCAUUGGGAAUCUUGUAUUAAAAGAAAAAAGUUUGGUAAGUUAAGAAUUCACCUUUCUAAUACCAGCCCAGACUUUUGGCUGGUUGGGAAAUUGCUGGACUAUGUCUG